AGCAGCCGCGGUAAUUCCAGCUCCAAUAGCGUAUAUUAAAGUUGUUGCAGUUAAAAGCUCGUAGUUGAAUUUCGGGGUCUGUCCGUCGGUCGGGCUUCACGGUCCGUACUGGUGUGAUGGGUUCCUACCUUCUGAAUAACCGGCAUGCCAUUCAGUUGGUGCGCCGGGGAAGCAGAGCUAUUACCUUGAAAAAUUGAGUGCUUAAAGCAGGCUAGUGCUUGAAUAGAUUAGCAUGGAAUAAUAAAAUAGGACGGCAUGGUUCUAUUUUGUUGGUUUCUAGGAUCACCGUAAUGAUUAAUAGGGAUAGUUGGGGGCAUUAGUAUUCAAUUGUCAGAGGUGAAAUUCUUGGAUUUAUUGAAGACUAACUUCUGCGAAAGCAUUUGCCAAGGAUGUUUUCAUUAAUCAAGAACGAAAGUUAGGGAUCGAAGACGAUCAGAUACCGUCGUAGUCUUAACCAUAAACUAUGC
rnacentral:misc_RNA from 1 species